UGAUACGAGCCAAGGAGGUGACACUCAAGGGGUUGUUUUUCUUAGUGGUCCAAUCACUCGAAGCAAGACACGACAAUUAAAAUCAAAGAUGAAUGCUUUUGUCCAAGACUUUGUUGCUACAAAUUUAAGUCAUCAUGUUCGUGACGUUGACAAAUACGGGAAUGCAAUUCACUGGACCAAUCUUGGAAUAGUGAAAGCCCAU
rnacentral:lncRNA from 1 species